rnacentral:tRNA from 2 species
GCCGCAGUGGUGAAAUUGGUAGACACGCUAGCUUCAGGUGCUAGUCCCGCCUAGCGGGAUGGAGGUUCGAGUCCUCUCUGCGGUA